rnacentral:rRNA from 1 species
UAGUCCACGCCGUAAACGAUGGUCACUAGUUGUUGGGGCUUUAUGCCUCAGUGAUUAAGCGAAAGUGAUAAGUGACCCACCUGGGGAGUACGAUCGCAAGAUUGAAACUCAAAGGAAUUGACGGGGGCCCGCACAAGCGGUGGAGCAUGUGGUUUAAUUCGAUGAUAGGCGAGGAACCUUACCAGGGCUUAAAUGUAGAUUGCAUUAGCUAGAGAUAGCUAUUUCUUCGGACUAUCUACAAGGUGCUGCAUGGUUGUCGUCAGCUCGUGCCGUGAGGUGUCAGGUUAAGUCCUAUAACGAGCGCAACCCCUGUUGUUAGUUGCCAGCAUGUAAAGAUGGGAACUCUAACAAGACUGCCGGUGCAAACCGUGAGGAAGGUGGGGAUGACGUCAAAUCAUCACGGCCCUUACGUCCUGGGCUACACACGUGCUACAAUGGUAGGGACAGAGAGCAGCCACUUCGCGAGAAGGAGCGAAUCUAUAAACCCUAUCACAGUUAC